rnacentral:rRNA from 1 species
GGCGGCGUGCUUAACACUGCAAGUCGAACGGUGAUGCCCAGCUUGCUGGGCGGAUCAGUGGCGAACGGGUGAGUAACACGUGAGUAACCUGCCCCAGACUCCGGGAUAAGCCUUGGAAACGAGGUCUAAUACUGGAUACGAGACGCCCCUGCAUGGGGAGUGUCUGGAAAGAUUUAUCGGUCUGGGAUGGACUCGCGGCCUAUCAGCUUGUUGGUGGGGUAAUGGCCUACCAAGGCGACGACGGGUAGCCGGCCUGAGAGGGCGACCGGCCACACUGGGAUUGAGACACGGCCCAGACUCCUACGGGAGGCAGCAGUGGGGAAUAUUGCACAAUGGGCGAAAGCCUGAUGCAGCGACGCCGCGUGAGGGAUGAAGGCCUUCGGGUUGUAAACCUCUUUCAGCAGGGAAGAAGCGCAAGUGACGGUACCUGCAGAAGAAGCGCCGGCUAACUACGUGCCAGCAGCCGCGGUAAUACGUAGGGCGCAGCGUUGUCCGGAAUUAUUGGGCGUAAAGAGCUCGUAGGCGGUUUGUCGCGUCUGGUGUGAAAACUCAAGGCUCAACCUUGAGCUUGCAUCGGGUACGGGCAGACUAGAGUGCGGUAGGGGUGACUGGAAUUCCUGGUGUAGCGGUGGAAUGCGCAGAUAUCAGGAGGAACACCGAUGGCGAAGGCAGGUCACUGGGCCGCAACUGACGCUGAGAGCG